GAUGAACGCUGGCGGCGUGCCUAAUACAUGCAAGUCGAGCGAAUGGAUUAAGAGCUUGCUCUUAUGAAGUUAGCGGCGGACGGGUGAGUAACACGUGGGUAACCUGCCCAUAAGACUGGGAUAACUCCGGGAAACCGGGGCUAAUACCGGAUAACAUUUUGAACCGCAUGGUUCGAAAUUGAAAGGCGGCUUCGGCUGUCACUUAUGGAUGGACCCGCGUCGCAUUAGCUAGUUGGUGAGGUAACGGCUCACCAAGGCAACGAUGCGUAGCCGAGCUGAGAGGGUGAUCGGCCACACGGGGACUGAGUCACGGCCCAGACGCCUACGGGAGGCAGCAGUAGGGAAUCUUCCGAAAUGGACGAAAGUCUGACGGAGCAACGCCGCGUGAGUGAUGAAGGCUUUCGGGUCGUAAAACUCUGUUGUUAGGGAAGAACAAGUGCUAGUUGAAUAAGCUGGCACCUUGACGGUACCUAACCAGAAAGCCACGGCUAACUACGUGCCAGCCGCCGCCGUAA
rnacentral:rRNA from 1 species